rnacentral:rRNA from 1 species
CGUCUCAGUCCGGACUGUGGUCUGCAACCCGACCACACGAAGCUGGAAUCGCUAGUAAUCGUGAAUCAGAAUGUCACGGUGAAUACGUUCCCGGGUCUUGUACACACCGCCCGUCACACCAUGGGAGUCAGCAACGCCCGAAGUCAGUGACCUAACCGAGAGGGAGGAGCUGCCGAAGGCGGGGCCGGUAACUGGGGUGAAGUCGUAACAAGGUACC